UCCCUAGUGCUCAGACAGUAAAGCAUCUGCCUGCAAUGCAGGAGACCUGGGUUUGAUCCCUGGGUAGGGAA
rnacentral:tRNA from 1 species